rnacentral:rRNA from 1 species
UACGGAGGAUCCAAGCGUUAUCCGGAUUUAUUGGGUUUAAAGGGUGCGUAGGCGGCCUGUUAAGUCAGGGGUGAAAGACGGUAGCUCAACUAUCGCAGUGCCCUUGAUACUGAUGGGCUUGAAUGGACUAGAGGUAGGCGGAAUGUGACAAGUAGCGGUGAAAUGCAUAGAUAUGUCACAGAACACCGAUUGCGAAGGCAGCUUACUAUGGUCUUAUUGACGCUGAGGCACGAAAGCGUGGGGAU